CUUGCUUCUCUUGAGAGCGGCGGACGGGUGAGUAAUGCCUAGGAAUCUGCCUGGUAGUGGGGGAUAACGUCCGGAAACGGACGCUAAUACCGCAUACGUCCUACGGGAGAAAGCAGGGGACCUUCGGGCCUUGCGCUAUCAGAUGAGCCUAGGUCGGAUUAGCUAGUUGGUGGGGUAAUGGCUCACCAAGGCGACGAUCCGUAACUGGUCUGAGAGGAUGAUCAGUCACACUGGAACUGAGACACGGUCCAGACUCCUACGGGAGGCAGCAGUGGGGAAUAUUGGACAAUGGGCGAAAGCCUGAUCCAGCCAUGCCGCGUGUGUGAAGAAGGUCUUCGGAUUGUGAAGCACUUUAAGUUGGGAGGAAGGGCAGUAAAUUAAUACUUUGCUGUUUUGACGUUACCGACAGAAUAAGCACCGGCUAACUCUGUGCCAGCAGCCGCGGUAAUACAGAGGGUGCAAGCGUUAAUCGGAAUUACUGGGCGUAAAGCGCGCGUAGUGGUUCGUUAAGUUGGAUGUGAAAUCCCCGGGCUCAACCUGGGAACUGCAUUCAAAACUGACGAGCUAGAGUAUGGUA
rnacentral:rRNA from 1 species